AUUGAACGCUGGCGGCAGGCCUAACACAUGCAAGUCGCACGAGUGGCGGACGGGUGAGUAAUGUCUGGGAAACUGCCUGAUGGAGGGGGAUAACUACUGGACACGGUAGCUAAUACCGCAUACCAUCGGAUGUGCCCAGAUGGGAUUAGCUAGUAGGUGGGGUAAAGGCUCACCUAGGCGACGAGCCCUAGCUGGUCUGAGAGGAUGACCGUCCACACUGGAACUGAUACACGGUCCAGACUCCUACGGGAGGCAGCAGUGGGGAAUAUUGGACAAUGGGCGCAAUCCUGAUGCAGCCAUGCCGCGUGUAUGAAGAAGGCCUUCGGGUUGUAAAGUACUGUAAGCGGGGAGGCGUUACCCGCAGAAGAAGCACCGGCUAACUCCGUGCCAGCCGCCGCGGUAAUUC
rnacentral:rRNA from 1 species